rnacentral:rRNA from 2 species
UACAGAGGGUGCAAGCGUUAAUCGGAAUUACUGGGCGUAAAGCGCGCGUAGGCGGUUGCGUAAGUUGGAGGUGAAAUCCCCGGGCUCAACCUGGGCAUUGCCUUCAAAACUGCGCAGCUAGAGUAUUGGAGAGGAAGGUAGAAUUCCAGGUGUAGCGGUGAAAUGCGUAGAGAUCUGGAGGAAUACCGAUGGCGAAGGCAGCCUUCUGGCCAAAUACUGACGCUGAGGUGCGAAAGCAUGGGGAGCAAACAGG